AUGUAGCUCAGUGGUAGAGCACUUGCCUAGCAUGCAAAACACCCUGGGUUCCAUCCCCAGUGU
rnacentral:tRNA from 1 species